rnacentral:rRNA from 1 species
UACGGAGGGUGCGAGCGUUGUCCGGAUUUACUGGGCGUAAAGAGCGCGCAGGCGGUCGUUCAAGUCGAGUGUGAAAGCCCCCGGCUCAACUGGGGAGGGUCACUCGAUACUGAUCGACUUGAAGGCAGGAGAGGGAAGCGGAAUUCCCGGUGUAGUGGUGAAAUGCGUAGAUAUCGGGAGGAACACCAGUGGCGAAGGCGGCUUCCUGGCCUGUUCUUGACGCUGAGGCGCGAAAGCUAGGGGAGCAAACGGG